rnacentral:rRNA from 1 species
UGCCAGCCGCCGCGGUAACACGGGGGGCGCAAGCGUUAUUCGGAAUUACUGGGCGUAAAGGGCGCGUAGGCGGUCUGUUGCGUUAGGUGUGAAAGCCCCGGGCUCAACCUGGGAGGUGCACUUGAUACGGGCAGACUAGAAUCCGGGAGAGGAUGGUGGAAUUCCCAGUGUAGAGGUGAAAUUCGUAGAUAUUGGGAAGAACACCGAUGGCGAAGGCAGCCAUCUGGACCGGUAUUGACGCUGAGGCGCGAAAGCGUGGGGAGCAAACAGGAUUAGAUA